rnacentral:rRNA from 1 species
AAAAAGGCGAGGCAGCUAUCCCCGAGAGCCCAUGACGAGCGCGUUAGCGCGAAGUCGCUGAUACCACGCUUCCAAGAAAAACUCCGUAGGGAGUCUAUAGGGUGUCCGUACCGCAAACCGACACAGGUGGGUGAGGAGAAAAUCCUAAGGCGCCUGAGAGAACUCUCCUCCAAGGAACUAGGCAAAUUGACACCGUAACUUCGGAAGAAGGUGUGCCCUCGGUAGGUGAAGUCGUACAGAUGGAGCCGAAGAGGGUUGCAGAGAAACGGCGGUAGCGACUGUUUACCAAAAACACAGGACUCUGCGAAGGCGAGAAGCCGACGUAUAGGGUCUGACUCCUGCCCGGUGCUGGAAGGUUAAGGGGAUUCGUCAGCCGCAAGGUGAAGCGAUGAUCCGAAGCCCCAGUAAACGGCGGCCGUAACAAUAACGGUCCUAAGGUAGCGAAAUUCCUUGUCGGGUAAGUUCCGACCUGCACGAAUGGAGUAACGACUUCCGCGCUGUCUCGGAGAGGGACUCAGCGAAAUUGAAAUAGCUGUGCCGAUGCAGUUUACCCGCAGCAAGACGGAAAGACCCCGUGAACCUUUACUAUAACUUGACAGUGACACUAGGGAUUGACUGUGUAGAAUAGGUGGGAGCCUUUGAGACCGGGCCGCUAGGUUCGGUGGAGGCACAAGUGAAAUACCACCCUGUUGAUUUCUGGUGUCUAACCGCGUCCCAUCAUCUGGGAUCGGAACACUGUCUGGUGGGUAGUUUGACUGGGGCGGUCGCCUCCCAAAACGUAACGGAGGCGCGCGAUGGUUCCCUCAGCCCGAUUGGAAACCGGGCGUCGAGUGCAAUGGCAUAAGGGAGCUUAACUGCGAGACCGACAGGUCGAGCAGGUGCGAAAGCAGGUCAUAGUGAUCCGGUGGUUCUGAAUGGAAGGGCCAUCGCUCAACGGAUAAAAGGUACUCCGGGGAUAACAGGCUUAUCUCCCCCAAGAGUUCAUAUCGACGGGGAGGUUUGGCACCUCGAUGUCGGCUCAUCGCAUCCUGGGGCUGGAGCAGGUCCCAAGGGUUUGGCUGUUCGCCAAUUAAAGCGGUACGCGAGCUGGGUUCAAAACGUCGUGAGACAGUUUGGUCCCUAUCUGCUGUGGGCGUAGGAUACUUGAGAGGAUCUGUCCUUAGUACGAGAGGACCGGGAUGGAGACACCUCUGGUGUACCAGUUGUCACGCCAGUGGCAUCGCUGGGUAGCCAUGUGUCGAUUGGAUAACCGCUGAAAGCAUCUAAGCGGGAAACCGACCUCAAGAACAGGUAUCCCGGGCGUAAGCCCCUGAAGACCCGUCGAAGACUACGACGUUGAUAGGUCAGGUGUGUAAGCGUGGUAACACGUUAAGCUAACUGAUACUAAUUGGUCGUGAGGCUUGCUCCA